rnacentral:rRNA from 1 species
AUUGAACGCUGGCGGCAUGCCUUACACAUGCAAGUCGAACGGUAACGCGGGGCAACCUGGCGACGAGUGGCGAACGGGUGAGUAAUACAUCGGAACGUGCCCAGUAGUGGGGGAUAGCCCGGCGAAAGCCGGAUUAAUACCGCAUACGACCUACGGGUGAAAGCGGGGGAUCGCAAGACCUCGCGCUAUUGGAGCGGCCGAUGUCAGAUUAGGUAGUUGGUGGGGUAAAGGCCUACCAAGCCUACGAUCUGUAGCUGGUCUGAGAGGACGACCAGCCACACUGGGACUGAGACACGGCCCAGACUCCUACGGGAGGCAGCAGUGGGGAAUUUUGGACAAUGGGCGCAAGCCUGAUCCAGCCAUGCCGCGUGCGGGAAGAAGGCCUCGGUUGUAACG